UAGGUUUGACAUGGACGUGGUACCCGGGGCGAAAGCUUUGGGGACCCGCAAGGGAGCGUUCACAGGUGCUGCAUGGCUGUCGUCAGCUCGUGUCGUGAGAUGUUCGGUUAAGUCCGGCAACGAGCGCAACCCUCGCCUCCAGUUACCAGCGAGUAAAGUCGGGGACUCUGGAGGGACUAACCCGUUAGGGUGGGAAGGUGGGGAUGACGUCAAGUCAGUAUGGCCCUUACAUCUAGGGCUGCACACGUGCUACAAUGCCUGGUACAAAAGGAACCAAGACCGCGAGGUGGAGGAAAUCCCUAAAGCCAGGCCCAGUUCAGAUUGGAGUCUGCAACUCGACUCCAUGAAGCCGGAAUCGCUAGUAAUGGAGAUCAGUACGUACCGGA
rnacentral:rRNA from 1 species